UUUUGUUUCUAUGGAGUUUCGGCACCGGCGUGAACCUUAACAGCACCACAUAAAACCCCACCUCUGCUGGUAACACCCGUGCCGGAAUUCAGCAAGAGAUCAACGGAGAAACAGUCCAGUCCGGCUCCCCACAGGUGCUAUUGGGAACCGCCGCCUGUAGCAGGACACCGGCUAUAUCCGGCCUCACCAACUACUCAAGAAGCAUCACUUGGCAUGGGGCUUGCUGAAACCGUGCCUGGGAAAGGCAGGGAAACAGCAUCCAGUUCAAUCUCAAACAAGAGAAAAUCUGCAGAUGUUGGAUUCCAAGCAACACACACACAAAAUGCUGGAGGAACUCAGCAGGCCAGGCAGCAACUAUGGAGAAGAGUACAGUCACUGUUUCGGGUUGAGAGCCUUCUUCAGGACUGGAGAAAAGAAAGAUGAGGAAUCAGAGACCUAACCCAGCCCCCACGCCAUCUUCACAUGAGACACAACCCGGACCACAGCAUCUCCAUGCAGAAUCCAGUCCGCUCCACGGCAACCCCAUGUGAGACCCAACACAGAACACGGCAACUUCAUGCAAGACACAACCUGGACCACGGCAUCUCCAUUCGGAACCCAAUCCGGACCAUGGCAACCUCGUGCAACAACUUUUUUAAAAAAAAUGCUGCAGCUUUCCUACGUCAGCAACUGAAGUGUUGGCCUAACUUGACGGUAUGACACAGGAGGAAAUCUGUAUUCUGGCAGCAGACGCAGUACCUUGCUCAAAUAUGAGCAUAUUUUUAUGUUACUUGUGUACAAGGACAACAGCCUGACUCUAUCACCCACACUGUUCUGAAGCCAGGAGAAAAAAAAAAUGCCACUUUUAUACAGAAUUGGCUAUCAGUUACUGAUAUUGACCAUUUGGUAAAUUGUGUAUGUUUGAAUUCCUUACUUGCAAGGUGAAUUGCCAUUUACAAUAGAGGUGUUAAAAUUCAAUCGAAAUUUUGAAAUUAGUAAAGCAAUUGUCACGUAGCUAUUGGAUGUUUCACGUCCUUCCGUUAUUCUUAUCUCAUCUGUCUUUGGCACCCCCUACUGAGUAAAGAAAAGCUAUGUUCUUCUAGGUUGGAUACACUGCCACAGACAUUCUCACUUAUCUAUCUGCAAUGGGCAAAGUUGGCCCCCGUGGUCUCAUUUCAAUGGUAUCCCUUUUCUGGGUUUGAUUACACACCACCACAGUCAUCCUCAUCUGCAUGUUGUCUUACUGCUACUCCCAAGCUACAGUUUUGGCCCUACUCGGAAAUCUUGGUCUUCUCCUACUGGGCAAAGUCCUUCCCCCCGAUGACAUACAUGCUGAACUGCUCCUCAGAGCAUCUGGUUCCAAUACCUGACCAUCCAUGUGGGUAAAGAGCACAGCCCAGAGAAGUUUAUCAAGGGUCCUUAAUCCAAACCCUCUAGAGGAGAAUGGACGAAAGUACAUUCAAGAGCCUGGUUUCUUCACUGCCUCCAGCUAGCUGAGACAUUUCUGCCUUUGCAGUUCAAACCUACAUGUUAGCUACAGCCUCCAUAUCAAAAAAUAAAGCUGGGUUAAGACCUGAGAAGAAGUCAUUAAUCUGAAAUAUUAACCCUGUUUCCCUCUCCACAGAUAAUGGUUAGCCUGCAGAGUGUUUCCAAGUUGAGGUUUCAAAUUACAAGUUUAUUGUCAUGGGCAU